UUUGCAUCCAUAAAAAAAGUUGUUUCUUUUUAAUUUGAGUCAUUAUUCGUAAAGUGGCAGACUUUUACUUUCAACCCGUCCAUUUCCAAACGUGCCCGCACUUGCA